rnacentral:rRNA from 1 species
CAUGUCCUUUUGAUUAUAAUUUAAGGUCUAAUCUGCUCAAUGAUGAUUAAAUUGCCGCAGUAUAUUGACUGUGCAAAGGUAGCAUAAUAAUUAGUUUAUUAAUUAUAAACUGGAAUGAAUGAUUGGACAAGAAAAUUUCUGUCUCUUUAUUAAUUUUUUUUGAAUUUUAUUUUUAAGUGAAAAAGCUUAAAUUUAUAUAAAAGACGAGAAGACCCUAUAGAGUUUAAUAUAUUUAUUUAUUUAAUAUUAGAAUAAAAGUGGAAAUUAUAUAUUUAGUUGGGGUGACUUAAAAAUUUAUAAAAUUUUUUAAUUUUUUAAUUGGAGAUUUCUAAAUAAAAUAUCUAUAAUUUAUAAUUAUAAAAUAAAUUACCUUAGGGAUAACAGCGUAAUUAUUUUUAAAAGAUCUUAUUAAAAAAAUAGUUUGCGACCUCGAUGUUGGAUUAAAAUUAAUAUUUGGUGUAGUAGCUAAAGUAUUGGGUCUGUUCGACCUUUAAAAUUUUACAUGAUCUGAGUUUAGACCGGUGUAAACCAGGUUGGAUUCUAUCUUUAAAAAAAUUGGAUAUUUUAGUACGAAAGGACCAAAUAUAUGUUAAAUUAAUUGU